GUCAGAAGCUAGCUCUCUGUAACUCCAACAUGUUCACCCAAUGGUGCUAAGCAGGGCUGCGUCCAGUCAGUACCUGGAUGGGAGACCACAUGGGAAAGCUAGGUUGUUGCUGGAA
rnacentral:rRNA from 1 species